GAUGAAGAACGCAGCGAAAUGCGAUACGUAAUGUGAAUUGCAGAAUUCAGUGAAUCAUCGAAUCUUUGAACGCACAUUGCACUCUCUGGUAUUCCGGAGUGUAUGCUUGUUUGAGUAUCAGUAAACACCUCAAAUCUCUUGUUUCUUGUGAAUAAGAGAAUUGGACUUGAGCAAUCCCAACUCUUGCAAAAGAGGCGGGUUGCUUGAAAUGCAGGUGCAGCUGGACAUUCUUCUGAGCUAAAAGCAUAUUUAUUUAGUCCCGUAAAACGGAUUAUUACUUUUGCUGCAGCUAACAUAAAGGUUGAAUGGCCAAUAUGGCUGACUGAUGCAGGAUUAACAGAGAAUUUAUUCUUUGUAAACUCGAUCUCAAAUCAAGUAAGACUACCCGCUGAACUUAAGCAUAUCAAUAAGCGGAGGA
rnacentral:misc_RNA from 1 species